GGGAAGUCCUUAAGUCUUAUUUGUGGGGCCCUCUCCUGGCUCCGUGACUUUGAACAGAAGAAGCGUGAAGAAGAGGCACGACUCCUUGAAACUGGAACUGGCCCCUUACAUGAUGAGAAAGAUGAAUCCCUGUGUCUAUCUUCUUCCUGCGAAGGGGCUGCAGGCACCCCGAGGCCUGCUGGAGAACCGGCCUGGGUUACUCAGUUUGUGCAGAAGAAAGAAGAGAGGGACCUGGUGGACCGACUAAAGGUGGAGCAGGCCAGGAGGAAGCAGCGAGAAGAACGCCUGCAGCAGCUGCAGCACAGGGUGCAGCUCAAGUAUGCAGCCAAGCGCCUGAGGCAGGAAGAAGAAGAAACAGAGAAUCUCCUCCGCCUCAGCAGGGAGAUGCUAGAGACAGGCCCGGAGGCUGAGCGGCUGGAGCAGCUGGAGUCUGGGGAGGAGGAGCUGGUCCUCGCCGAAUACGAGAGUGAUGAGGAGAAAAAGGUGGCGAGCGGAGUGGAUGAGGAUGAGGAUGACCUGGAGGAAGAACACAUAACUAAGAUUUAUUACUGUAGUCGGACACACUCCCAGCUGGCCCAGUUUGUGCAUGAGGUGAAGAAGAGCCCCUUUGGCAAGGAUGUUCGGCUUGUCUCCCUCGGCUCCCGGCAGGUAAACAGUAGCCAGUAUUUCCACCAGGGGCCAUCCUGCUCCUUUCCCCACAACUUUGUCCUGCUCGUCCAGGCCUGGGAGACGCUGGGUCUGUGACAGGCUGAACCGUGUGAGGAGCAGCCCCCUCCCUGGCCUGGCCGGCCCAUCACUGGAAGGCAAAGGAGAGGUGGCGGGGGCAGGUCCACGUGUGUUGGUAGGAUGUUAUUUAGCUGGCACCAUCUCUUUGCCUCUUUUUUUCUCCUUUGUUGCAGAACCUUUGUGUAAAUGAAGACGUGAGAAGCCUAGGUUCUGUGCAGCUUAUCAACGACCGCUGCGUGGACAUGCAGAGAAGCAGGCACGGUAGCCACUGGGACCAUGGUGUAGCCGCAGGUGGUCUGGAGAGAGUGAGGCAGGGGUGGCAGUGACUGAAGACCAUUCAGUGUCUUUCAUAGAAAGAAUGGCAGAGGAGACCCCAGUUCCUUCCUGAGUCCCCUCUCCUUGGGAAAAAGUGUUCCUACUCUCUGGGUGAGCGUCUGGUCCGAAUCGUUGGCUUGGAGAUGAUUUUACGGGCUCUUUCUGGAGAACAAAAGUAAAACCUUACAGUGUUCCGAUGAGACCACAGUAGGCAGUACUUGGGAGGGUCUUAUAGACCCCACCCCGUGGAAGUGGGUCUCAACAUUACACAACCCCCUCUCGGGCCUGUGGACAGUUGCUGUCCUCUCUGUUUUCUCUCUUUGUGCCUGUGCCACCCUC
rnacentral:sRNA from 1 species